rnacentral:rRNA from 1 species
AGUGAACGCUGGCGGUAGGCCUAACACAUGCAAGUCGAACGGCAGCACAGCAAGAGCUUGCUCUUACGGGUGGCGAGUGGCGGACGGGUGAGGAAUACAUCGGAAUCUACUUUUUCGUGGGGGAUAACGUAGGGAAACUUACGCUAAUACCGCAUACGACCUACGGGUGAAAGCAGGGGAUCUUCGGACCUUGCGCGGUUGAAUGAGCCGAUGUCGGAUUAGCUAGUUGGCGGGGUAAAGGCCCACCAAGGCGACGAUCCGUAGCUGGUCUGAGAGGAUGAUCAGCCACACUGGAACUGAGACACGGUCCAGACUCCUACGGGAGGCAGCAGUGGGGAAUAUUGGACAAUGGGCGCAAGCCUGAUCCAGCCAUACCGCGUGGGUGAAGAAGGCCUUCGGGUUGUAAAGCCCUUUUGUUGGGAAAGAAAAGCAGCAGGUUAAUACCCCGCUGUUCUGACGGUACCCAAAGAAUAAGCACCGGCUAACUUCGUG